rnacentral:pre_miRNA from 1 species
CAUUGGCACCCUAUUCCCUACAUAGUGCACUACUUUGGGCCCUGGUCAAAAGCAGUGCACUAUAUAAGGAAUAGGGUGCCAUUUG